rnacentral:lncRNA from 1 species
GCUCACUGUUCUGAAGUGUGUUAAAGAGCUGGAGAGACCGUGUGUUGUUUCCCCGCCCCCUCCCACUACCACCACAAAGGAUCCAGCCUCCAAAGAGGCUUGUGCUAUGCCAAGUGGUACUUGGGAGAGAGUCUGGAACCCCAGCCUAGACCAGGGUGGGAGAGCAAGAGACAAGAUCCCAGGCAGCAGGGAACUCAAGAUGACAAGCCUCCGUAGAUGGCCUCUGUCCUUGGUGGUGUGUCUGCUGCUGAUGUUGGCAGGCUGGGGAGCCUGUGCAGUAAUGCAGCUUCCAGACUAUCCUGGGGAAGAAGCCACCAUUGAGCAGAUGGAAGACUUCCUGUUCAAUCUGGGCAAGGAACUGGAGGCUAUCAACAUGUCCCCUUACCGAAGCAGUUACACUAGGAGAUCAGGAACCAUUUCCCCAGACGGUGGUGGCAGAGCCUUGGGCCAGGCUCCAAAUUCUAUUCUCUCUCAGGACCAAGAUUCUAAAGUGAGAUGAAUCAAGUGGGUCCCAAAGGCUGCAACAGUGUGGGGAUGGAUGGGGGGUGGGGAGGUCCUCACAGCCUAUAGCAUAGAGAUUGAAUUACAAUGUUAGAGGAGGCUAAAAAAAAAAAAAAAAAAAGGUGAGAUGCCACUCUGAAUUCCCCCUCUGGCUCCUGAGGUUCCUGAAUAAGGAUACUUAAUAUUUAGGCUUCCUAGACUAUCACAACCAGGAGCAAUGUCCUCCUGUCUCCCCGAAAGCCCUGAACCCCCCCACACAUACACAUAUGCAUACACACAUAUGCACAUGCAACUUCUUCAUUUUAAAUAUUCCAUCCUCCUCUGCUCUUCCCCAUAGUUUUCUGAUAUGAAAUAUAGCUUUUUGGAAACAGUACUGGAUAGAGUGUCUGGAGACCUCUAGCACUUAGUAACCAUGUGAUCCUUUGCAAAGCACAUCCAUCACUCUGGUCUCCAGUUUCCUAAUCUGUAAAAUGGGGAUAUUAAUAUUUGUACCAUCUUCUAUACAAGAUUGUUGUGAGGGAAAUGC